UGAUGCCAUACAUUUAGGCAACGUCAUAAGGAAAUACUUGAAGCUGCUAACGUCAGCUAACACGUUACAGUUAUGGCGUUUACAUUAUAUUCCCUUAUUCAAGCGGUGAUUUUGUGUGUAAAUGCUGUCGCCGUAUUGCACGAAGAAAGAUUUUUAAGUAAAAUUGGCUGGGGUGUGGACCAAAGUAUUGGGGGAUUUGGUGAUGAACCGGGCAUUAAAGUGCAGCUAAUGAACCUUGUCCGCUCUGUGAGAACAGUAAUGAGAGUGCCCUUGAUUGCUGUCAAUUCGGUCUGCAUUGUGUUGUUGCUGCUGUUUGGCUGAAGCGAAGACUGAAUCUGGAUGUUGAACUAAGAGAAGACAUUUUCAGGGCUCAGGGGGAUGUCUCCAUGAUUCCUGAAGGAGAAACCCUACAUGUACAACAAAGAAGAUUACACACACACGUGUUGUUGUAUCACAAAGAAUCAGCAUUACAUUUGAUUUCCUUUUUAUUUAUUCCCACUUUACAUGGUCAGACUGAGUAACAGUUCAGAUGCAGGAACAGUCAGUGUUUACUCCUUUAUGCCAUUCAGUUUCUUUCAAAGACACUGAGUCAAUGAUGUUUACACAAAGCAGUCCAAAGCAUGUUGCUGCUGGAUGAUUUCUACAAUGUCAAAGGAUAAUUUACUUUGAGCAUGCGAUUAAUUUAACUUUCUUUCUCCUAAUAUGAAACUGUGAUUGUGUCACAGUGCUGAUUAUGGCAUGCAUGUUGCUGUUAACAUAUUGUAAUCUUAUGUUGCAAAAAGUGUAUUUUUCUUCACACCUUCCUGGACAAAAUGUUAAAUGUACGUAAUUUGAACAGACAUAAACGCCAUAAAUCGGGAUAUAUAUUUGGUGUCUCAUGUAGACAACUUAAUUAUGUAUGACUUUUUUUCUCAGUAACUUUCAAUCAAUUACUUGAAAAAAAUAAAGAUGUUUUAAAUAUCAACACAUUUUGAGUUUGUUCAUAUCAAUAACUGAUAUUACCCAACGACAUUACAUGUUGACGUUGUAAUGUUUUGUCCCAUAACGCACUCCGUACUUCAACACAACUUUCGUUUUGAUCAUGGUUGAAAGUGUCAAAAGUGCAGUAAGGAGACCGAAGUGACUUGAUUAGGAAUAUAUUAGUUAAAUACAAAAUUGUGUGCAUGUUGGCGAUGUUUUUUAAUUGACGUGUAUGAAUGGCAUGGCAGUGUACUCUCGGACUAGCUGCAAACUUCAGCACAAGGGCAACUAGCACUCGUUCUCCCGAGGAGGCCUUCCUAUAACCGUAUAGUACAUAUUAGUGAUCAAGUACAAUAGAGUCGGUGGAUGCUUCUCAUGUAAUACUUGAAAAUGGAAAAUAUUAUGACCAAUGUUUUCAUUGCUGGGCUCCCAGCGUGUGCCAUAUAUUUUCUUUACGCCAACAUUUAUUGCUCUUAUAAACGACUGAAAGCUAAUGUGGUGUUUGACAGUCGUCAGAGCAUUCCAAGUUUUGCCUACCUUUUUCUCAGAUAUGUAUUCAGAGCUCUUAUCAAAAGACAGGGGCAUUUGUACUUUUGCGAUAGAGAUGUCGAAGGUGAAGUUGCCUUCACCAUCUUUAACUGCAGGUAAACUGAUUGCGCUUGACAAUGUAGCAGUCCAAUUUGUUUUAGUGCUAUGGUUUGAUUUUAUUAUAAUAAUUUCAAACAACACUGCCUUACAAAGAUGGUUGUUUAUUUGUUCACAUUUGGACCAAUUAUCUCCUAUGUGCUGUACUUUUUUCUCUCUAAGGUUCAACAAGGAUCUACUGAGGAGGUUCUGUAGUGCAGCUGGAUAUGGCUGGGACUACCCAGACAUUGAGUUCAGGGAUAUCCCUCUGUGUUACCCAGACACCCUCUGUCUGCGGAUGCUUGACAUAUUAAUAUCUGCUGAGAAGUUCAGAUUGAGCCCUCUGGGUAAGUAACACCUCUUCUGCUGGCUGGGUAUUGCAUGUCUUUGAAGGCCAUCCAAAUGUCAACACUCAAGGUACUCCAUUUUCUUCCUACAUUUCUGUAGAAUAUAUUAAUUCAAUUCAGCCAGAUGUGUAGUUCAUAUAAAAUCCCCCCACUUCAAUACAUUGUUUCCUUAGGUCUAGUCCGGCUACGUCAGAGUUUGAGAACAUGGCAGCCAAUAGAUGAGCUGAAGAAGGGACCCUUCAAGUUGCAGGCUCGUGUGUUAGAGUACAGGGUUGUUGAAGAUGGGGUGGAGGUUGACAUUUCUUUAACUGCCAUUUCACACACUGACCAGCCAGUAUGGGAGAGUGUUUUGACAAUGCUCUCCCAGGACAGAGGCCGAACACCAAACACACAACCUAAACCUGAGUGGUAUGAUGGUCACAUGGACACAUCAGAGCCAGAUGACGUGAAGGCGGUAGAUAUCAAUGUUCCCUGGACUACAGGACUGACGUUUGUGUGGGCUUUCUCUGACUACUCUCCACGUUGUCUCCUAACUCUUCCUGCUAAACUCUUGGGCUGCAGAUGUACCCCAACUCCUAGUCUAUGGAUGCUGUCUAAAUGCUUGGCUGAAAUUGAAAAGCACAAAGGAGUUGAUGCCAUUAGAGCCCCCAUCUCUGUCACCGCCCAGUUCAAGGAACCAUUGUUGGUACCAGGAAAAGUGACCAUCAAAUUUUGUGAGAGUGCGGGAGUGCAGUCCAAAUGUGUUAGCUUCCAAAUGGAGCAAUACGAGAGGAAGAUACCUCACAUCACGGGACAAAUCUGCAGGACUACUGUAGAGGAUGUGAAUUAAAGAUGAAAACGGCGCCAAUGGCCACACCAGCACCGUUAUUGUUUUUGUUGCAGAGAUGAGUAGCAUCACGUAGCAUGAUGUGUUAAAUGAUGUCAGAGUUGAAAAAACUGUUUGUUGUGUGCAGUAACUUCUUUGUUGUAAAAUCGUAAAUGGUGUGGCUGCUUCACCAAUAAGGAUUCCAGCUUUAAGAUGAUCAGUUAUGACAUGACAUUGUAUAAAUAUCAGGUAGAUGAAAUAAUAAGGGAUGAUUGUGUAAUUAUUAGUGGAAUGACAUCUCAUCUUUGCCAUUAUGUGGCAUCCUAGUCAGUGCGGCAUAGGCUUCAUGGCCCAGCAGGUGAUUUACACAAAUGUAUCUUCAAUCCAAAGUACCCCAAUACUGCUACCCUCUAGAGUAGAUAUUUACAUCAAACAAGAACUGCAGUCUUAAGGCAUUUUCUGUGUCCUCUACAACUCUAAUGUUACUAUGUCCACAGAAGCACCAUAAGCUACAGUACCAGGCGUAUGCUGAUGCAGACAAGGUCACUACAGGGAAUGGAGACUUGAAUAUUUGAUCUGUUUGAUAUUCUUGUUCCCUGCCUUCAUGUAUAUGAAGGUCUUUUCUCUUGUAUUACUCAUUGUAAAAUGGAGGUGUAGGCAGGAAAUAUGUAGAGGAACAUAAACAGUAUUGUUCACUGAAAUGCUUUGUAGAGAUCCAUGAAUUAAACUAUACCUUAAGUUUAAUGUCAGUAUUUACAUAUUUCUGCCAAACAUCAAAGAGUGGUGAUUAGAUUCUGCCUAGGAGUAAAAUGUUAAAUAAAUAUUACUAAAAUGAA